rnacentral:rRNA from 1 species
AACGAACGCUGGCGGCAUGCCUAACACAUGCAAGUCGAACGAGACCUUCGGGUCUAGUGGCGCACGGGUGCGUAACGCGUGGGAACCUGCCUUUAGGUUCGGAAUAACUCAGAGAAAUUUGAGCUAAUACCGGAUGAUGUCUUCGGACCAAAGAUUUAUCGCCUUUAGAUGGGCCCGCGUUGGAUUAGCUAGUUGGUGGGGUAAAGGCCUACCAAGGCGACGAUCCAUAGCUGGUCUGAGAGGAUGAUCAGCCACACUGGGACUGAGACACGGCCCAGACUCCUACGGGAGGCAGCAGUGGGGAAUAUUGGACAAUGGGCGAAAGCCUGAUCCAGCAAUGCCGCGUGAGUGAUGAAGGCCUUAGGGUUGUAAAGCUCUUUUACCCGAGAUGAUAAUGACAGUAUCGGGAGAAUAAGCCCCGGCUAACUCCGUG